ensembl:lncRNA
UCAGGGGGAAAAAGUUUUCGGACCGAGAAGGAUCCUUGUGUACUCAGAGAAAUCCACGGCUGAACGGGGUUUGCCUCUUCAAACGGGGUUGGAAAGGCGCUGGAGUUCUUUGGAGUUGAGCCGCACAGGUUUUGGGGAGUGUCGUACAUGGGCAAAGUUUGCACAUGUGUAUAAAUGCACUGCAGCUGUUAAGGGCGGAGCUCGACAAAGUUUCAACAGUGCGCUCCCUGAAGCCCCGCCCUUCCCGCACAAGUGGUUUUGGUAACUCCCCCAGACUUCAGUGGCCCUAGUGCACGCUGCCUGCCUCGAGACAAUCAACACUACAUAAAUUCAACUCAGGUGCUUGAAAUCCGAUUCUCCUCUCCAACUCCUCUAGUUCCCCGCAUAAAAAACCACUCAUCCAUUACACUGACUCCAGUUUUCGCUGAGCUGCUCCGAUGAUUCCAAAACAUUACGUCAUUGCACAGAGAGGGAACAUCGCUACUAUGGCCAGAGCGGCUGCCAAGGCGUCUGCACAGGACUGUACACUGGAUCCUUUGUGAUGUCCACAAUGUGUGUCCAAGGCAACCACUAGGUAGAGAGGACGGCCCAUAAUGGAACGCUUCUUGUCUUCUUCUCGACAACACAUGAGCUGGUAUUCUGGGCUUCAGUGUGCCCUAUUGGCCUAGCCACAGCCCGGCAGCCUUUCAUUACACUAGCCGAAGGAGGUGCCCUGGACAUCCCCAUCGAAGAUACCAUCACCACACCCCAAAGUGUGCCCAGCUCCGAGCUGUUCCCUGGAUACAACAACAAGAGAGAUGAGAAAACAGCCGCUCUGUUUGCACAUCAUUUAACUGGCAAUCAUCAAGAACAAGCGGUUUGGAAACUGGAUGGAUGGAUGUCAUGGCUGGAACUACACCGCCCCCUGCUGAUCAAAUAGAACUUGCAAGGCAGUUCCUUCCUUCCACAUUCUAUAAAAUAUUCAAGGGUAUUCAGUAUUCCAGGAGACUGGAGAUGCCAAAGGGUAAGGAGUGAGAUCAACCAUACGCUCAUCACAUCACUGGUCCACUGAUUCACACCAUUAAGUGCGCCGGAGCCCCACCAGCGCACCCGAGAACAAGGCCUUCACACCGAGGGCCUCACCUGAAGACAGUCCACAGGGUGGUGAAUAAAAGCCCUGAGCUUCUGUCGCA